rnacentral:rRNA from 1 species
CCUACGGGAGGCAGCAGUGAGGAAUAUUGGUCAAUGGGCGAGAGCCUGAACCAGCCAAGUCGCGUGAAGGAAGACGGUCCUAUGGGUUGUAAACCUCUUUAGGCGGGGAGCAAUUCCGGGCACGCGUGCCCGUAGGGAGAGUACCCGCAGAAUAAGCAUCGGCUAACUCCGUGCCAGCAGCCGCGGUAAUACGGAGGAUGCGAGCGUUAUCCGGAGUUAUUGGGUUUAAAGGGUGCGUAGGCGGAAUAUUAAGUCAGCGGUAAAAUGUCGGGGCUCAACCCGGGCCGGCCGUUGAAACUGGUGAUCUUGAGUGGGCGAGAAGUAUGCGGAAUGCGUGGUGUAGCGGUGAAAUGCAUAGAUAUCACGCAGAACUCCGAUUGCGAAGGCAGCAUACCGGCGCCCGACUGACGCUGAGGCACGAAAGCGUGGGGAUCGAACAGGAUUAGAUACCCUUGUAGUC